UACGGAGGGUGCAAGCGUUAUCCGGAUUCACUGGGUUUAAAGGGUGCGUAGGCGGGCAGGUAAGUCAGUGGUGAAAUCUCCGGGCUUAACCCGGAACUGCGUUGGAUACUAUCCGGCUCGAGGAAUGGAGGGGAGACUGGAAUACUUGGUGUAGCAGUGAAAUGCGUAGAUAUCAAGUGGAACACCAGUGGCGAAGGGCGAGUCUCUGGACAUUUCCUGACGCUGAGGCACGAAAGCCAGGGGAGCAAACGGGAU
rnacentral:rRNA from 1 species